rnacentral:rRNA from 1 species
NNAUCUGAAAUCAAGCAGGAUCACCCGCUGAACUUAAGCAUAUCACUAAGCGGAGGAGAAGAAAUUAACUAAGAUUGCCUCAGUAACGGCGAGUGAAGCGGCAAAAGCCCAAAAUCUAAAUCUAGUACAUUCUGUACUCGAAUUGUAAUCUAGAGAGGAUUCACUCAACGGGUGGUGGCGCAGAAGUGACCACGAACGGUCCGCCAGAGAGGGUGAAAGCCCCGUAUGUGGUGCCGCUACUUAACGAGUGGGUUUUCGAAGAGUCGGGUUGUUUUGUAUUGCAGCCCUAAGUGGGAGAUAAACUUCUUCUAAGGCUAAAUAUAUAUGGGAAACCGAUAGCGAACAAGUACUGUGAAGGAAAG